rnacentral:rRNA from 1 species
AACGAACGCUGGCGGCAGGCCUAACACAUGCAAGUCGAGCGAGGACUUCGGUCCUAGCGGCGGACGGGUGAGUAACGCGUGGGAACGUGCCCUUUGCUUCGGAAUAGCCCUGGGAAACUGGGAGUAAUACCGGAUGAGCCCUUUGGGGGAAAGAUUUAUCGGCGAAGGAUCUGCCCGCGUUGGAUUAGGUAGUUGGGUGGGUAAUGGCCUACCAAGCCGACGAUCCAUAGCUGGUUUGAGAGGAUGAUCAGCCACACUGGGACUGAGACACGGCCCAGACUCUUACGGGAGGGAGGAGUGGGGAAUGGUAGACAAUGGGGGAAACCCUGAUGUAGCCAUGCCGGGUGAGCGAUGAAGGCAUUAGGGUUGUAAAGCUCUUUCAGCUGGGAAGAUAAUGACGGUACCAGAAGAAGAAGCCCCGGCUAACUCCGUG